rnacentral:misc_RNA from 1 species
GAUGAAGAACGUAGCGAAAUGCGAUAAGUAAUGCGAAUUGCAGAAUUUCCGUGAGUCAUCGAAUCUUUGAACGCACAUUGCGCCCGCCAGCAUUCUGGCGGGCAUGCCUGUUCGAGCGUCAUUUCAACCCUCGAGCCCCCCCGGGGGCCUCGGUGUUGGGGGACGGCACACCAGCCGCCCCCGAAAUGCAGUGGCGACCCCGCCGCAGCCUCCCCUGCGUAGUAGCACACACCUCGCACCGGAGCGCGGAGGCGGUCACGCCGUAAAACGCCCAACUUUCUUAGAGUUGACCUCGGAUCAGGUAGGAAUACCCGCUGAACUUAAGCAUAUCAAUAAGCGGAGGA